rnacentral:rRNA from 1 species
ACACUCCUACGGGAGGCAGCAGUGGGGAAUAUUGGACAAUGGGCGCAAGCCUGAUCCAGCCAUGCCGCGUGAGUGAUGAAGGCCCUAGGGUUGUAAAGCUCUUUCACCGGUGAAGAUAAUGACGGUAACCGGAGAAGAAGCCCCGGCUAACUUCGUGCCAGCAGCCGCGGUAAUACGAAGGGGGCUAGCGUUGUUCGGAUUUACUGGGCGUAAAGCGCACGUAGGCGGACUAUUAAGUCAGGGGUGAAAUCCCGGGGCUCAACCCCGGAACUGCCUUUGAUACUGGUAGUCUUGAGUUUGAGAGAGGUGAGUGGAAUUCCGAGUGUAGAGGUGAAAUUCGUAGAUAUUCGGAGGAACACCAGUGGCGAAGGCGGCUCACUGGCUCGAUACUGACGCUGAGGUGCGAAAGCGUGGGGAGCAAACAGGAUUAGAUACCCUAGUAGUCCCAUGA